UACGUAGGGAGCAAGCGUUAUCCGGAUUUAUUGGGUGUAAAGCGUGUGUAGGCGGUUUAUUAAGUCUAAGGUUUAAUCCCGAAGCUCAACUUCGGUUCGCCUUAGAAACUGAUUUACUUGAGUGUGGUAGAGGCAAGUGGAAUUUCUAGUGUAGCGGUAAAAUGCGUAGAUAUUAGAAGGAACACCAGUGGCGAAGGCGACUUGCUGGGCCAUUACUGACGCUGAGACACGAAAGCGUGGGGAGCAAAUA
rnacentral:rRNA from 1 species